UGAGGAAUAUUGGUCAAUGGGCGAGAGCCUGAACCAGCCACGUCGCGUGAAGGAAGACUGACCUUACGGUUUGUAAACUUCUUUUGUAGAGGGGUAAUGGCAGAUACGUGUAUUUGCGUGAAAGUACUCUACGAAUAAGCAUCGGCUAACUCCGUGCCAGCAGCCGCGGUAAUACGGGGGAUGCGAGCGUUAUCCGGAAUUAUUGGGUUUAAAGGGUGCGCAGGUGGCUAAUCAGGUCAGUGGUGAAAAGCUAUGGCUCAACCAUGGUCUUGCCAUUGAAACCGUAUAGCUAGAGAGGAGACGAGGUAGGCGGAAUGUGUGGUGUAGCGGUGAAAUGCAUAGAUAUCACACAGAACUCCGAUUGCGAAGGCAGCUUACCAGGCGUUAUCUGACACUUAGGCACGACAGCGUGGGGAUCAAACAGG
rnacentral:rRNA from 1 species